rnacentral:rRNA from 1 species
GAUGAACGCUGGCGGCGUGCCUAAUACAUGCAAGUAGAACGCGGAAGGGAGGAUCUUGCUCUUUCCGGGUGAGUUGCGCACGAGUGAGUAACGCGUGGGUGACCUCCCUGGUAGCGGGGGAUAACUAUUAGACACGAUAGCUAAUAGCACAAAACAGAAGAUGUUGCAUGAUGUCUUCUUAAAAGGUUCGAUUGCUCCACUACCAGAUGGAUCUGCGUGCUAUUAGCUAGUUGGUGUGGUAACGGAUUACCAAGGCGACGAUACAUAGCCGACCUGAGAGGAUGAUCAGCCGCACUGGGACGGGGACACGGCCCAGACUCCUGCGGGAGGCAGCAGUAGGGAUUCUUCGGGAAUGGGCGGAAGUCUGACCGAGGAACGCGGCGAGAGUGUAGAGGGGUUUCGGAUCGUAGAGGUAGGUUGUAAGCGAGGAGCGAGCGUGAGAGUGGAAAGAUCACACUGUGACGGUAUCUGACCAGAAAGGGACGGCUAACUACGUG